GCCUGGGUGGCUCAGUUGGUAGAGCGUCUGAUUUCCGCUCAGAUCAUCAUCUCAUGGUUCGUGGGUUCGAGCCCCACGUCGGGCU